GACGAACGCUGGCGGCGUGCCUAAUACAUGCAAGUCGAACGCUUCUUUUUCCACCGGAGCUUGCUCCACCGGAAAAAAAGAGUGGCGAGCGGGUGAGUAACACGUGGGUAACCUGCCCAUCAGAAGGGGAUAACACUUGGAAACAGGUGCUAAUACCGUAUAACAAUCGAAACCGCAUGGUUUUGAUUUGAAAGGCGCUUUCGGGUGUCGCUGAUGGAUAGACCCGCGGUGCAUUAGCUAGUUGGUGAGGUAACGGCUCACCAAGGCCACGAUGCAUAGCCGACCUGAGAGGGUGAUCGGCCACAUUGGGACUGAGACACGGCCCAAACUCCUACGGGAGGCAGCAGUAGGGAAUCUUCGGCAAUGGACGAAAGUCUGACCGAGCAACGCCGCGUGAGUGAAGAAGGUUUUCGGAUCGUAAAACUCUGUUGUUAGAGAAGAACAAGGAUGAGAGUAACUGUUCAUCCCUUGACGGUAUCUAACCAGAAAGCCACGGCUAACUACGUGCCAGCAGCCGCCGUAA
rnacentral:rRNA from 1 species